rnacentral:lncRNA from 1 species
CAAGCAUCAGCAAUACGUUGUUCGGUGGGAACCUCUCCCUGUCACUCUUCAACCUUGGCCCAACCUAAAACCAUCCUUAGUUUUAUGAUUUUUCAAGUAAAUUCUCAGUCUUAUGCAUAAAUAUACAUAAAUUAAGCAUCUUUUCAUAUCUUUAAGAUGACACUAUCGAAUAUUUUAGUUUUUAAUAGUAAAAAAAACUACUAGUAGUAGUUAUGAAAAGAAUUUUUUUUUUCUCAGCAUGAAAUCAAGUUUACUUUUUAGGGAUGCCAAAAAUUAAUGAAAUGAAAUUUUGAAGUGCUAAAUUGAUUUUACUUGUUAAAUGCAAUUUCAAAUUCGGUUGAUUAAAUACUUAGAUGAAGAAAUGUAUAAAACUCAUAAUAGUACUAUUUAAUUUAAGUAAGAUUGUUUCUCCUCAAGUAACUUGGUAUUAAAAAGUACCAAAUUAAUAUUUUCAAUAAUGUCAAGCGCAGCAAAAUCAAAUCAACCAAUAAUGCCAAAUAUCACUUGACCAAAUCAACAAAACAGCAUUUUAAUACAUCUCUGUACCAUCAUUGCUAACUUCUUUUUUUUUUUUUUUAACAAUUAAGUUUAAUAAAUGAUUGUGAACAGAGUGAAGGAUGGUUGUGUACCCAGUAAGCAGCAGUGAAACCAGCAAUUCCAGAGGAAAGAUGAAUAACAUAUCCACCAGAGUAAUCAAUAACCCCC